CCACCUCUGGGACUAAAAGGUAAACAAAAUUCAUUAAGUGGGAAGUUUAAAGGAUAGAGAAACAACUUACAAAUACCAAUGUGAAAUUGAAAUAUAAUUAGUUCCCUUGUGUCCUAGAUGUUCCUGCUACUGAUUUGCAUGACAGCUUUUUUUAAAAUCGGUGUUGAAGACCUGGCCUGAAAUAGAACACCACAUUAGUGUAUUUUAUGACUAAGUCAAGAGGGUAAGGAGAUCAGCGUUCCAGAUUUAAAGUCGGUUAUUACUGCUUCUCUGGGUCAAUGUAAGAGGAUGUUCAUUUCAGAAAAUAAAAGGUUUUCCAUAGCUUUAGUAGAGAUCUAAAUCUUUCAGUAUUAAAGUGCUAAACAUAUCAAGGAUUUGGCGCUCAGAUCUGGCACUCUGCAAAAUGAAAAUACUUCUGAUAGAUCUAAGUGUUCCAACAACACACUUCCACAGUAACUGGAUGAGUUUAGAUGUGCUGACAGCAGCGUGCAGUGGCAAGUCAGGUCUGGAGUUAGAACGUGGAUUGCUCCAGUUCAGCAGUAGCUGAAAUCCCUACCUCCUGUGGGAGAAUUAUGAAAAGCAAAAGCUGAAUGCUCAAAUAAAAUAGACACUCAGUUUUAUACCAAGUAUCAGUAUAAUGUGGAUAAAGUAACAUUUGGAGUAAAACUGCCGACUUACCAGAUGUUCUCAUUAUUAUUAAUUGCACUGCUUUGCGGAAGUACUGAUCAUCAGUCCUUCAUUGCACAGAACUGGCAUAAGCAGGCACAAUUAAGCACAAACAGUAUAAAAAACAGAAGAUAUCAGGACACAACAUGCACCAUAUCUAAAGUUCAUGGGAAAGCAUGCCCAAAACCUGAUUCUUUGAGGGAUACUCCAACACGGCGCGUGUGGUGUGACAGGAAGCAGCACUGGCAGCAGCACAUGGGAACAUGCAUCAGAAAUGUUCUGAAUCACAAAACUCAGAUUGCAGCGUGCACAGUGAGCAUCACUAGUGAGCAGUGCACUGUUACUAUGAAACUGAUAAACUCAGUGCUGGUCUUAAAGCACAAGUCACCAAAUAAGGACUGUAAGAGAAGUCAGGCUGGGUAUUUCUGUUGGUUUUGCCUUUGCCACGGUAAUUCUGACUUUAAAGCUAGAAGUAGCUUUGGAAGGUACUAACAGCAGCUCUAUUGCCAAGUGAGCACACAGCUGGCCUGCAGGACAACCUGGCUAAGGGGAUUCUAGGACAUUACGUGGGGUACCGAGCACCCCAGGCAUUUACCUUGGGAUGAUGCUAGAAAAACCCCACUACUGUCAUCUAAAAGCUGUGCCACGCAUUGCUGAUACAGUACAGUACACCACCUGAACAGUACCGUUUCUGCUAACGCAAGGUGAAAAGCCAUUUCAUUGAUCUCAAAACGAAGAAUUCAGACAGGCAGAAGGACAGACUGCAGAAAAGCAUCACAUGAUCCCAUGACAAGCAAUUAAGGCCUGGGAGGGAUUUGUCUCUGGAGAUGCCCUGGCAUUAAGUGGAGGAACUGGUUCCGUGACUCAGAGGGAACCUGCACCUACUAAUUCACCAACACCCAAUUCCUGCAGCACUUCAAGCUGUGCUCCAGUAUUUCAGAGAGUGAUUAGGAGUGCUGCCUUCUGCUUGUGAAUACUGCCUCGCCUAUUCCCAAAGCAGAAUUUGGUGAUGUUUGUCCACAAGAAGUGACCCACAUGAGGCAGGAAGAAGAAUUUACUAGAAAACAAGGAGUUAUUUCAAGCCACAGAGAAGGAAAGGAGGAAGAGACAAUUUAAGCCCAAAUAUUACUACAGGACUGUACCAGGUUACUGAGAGCAGCAUGGCUCAGCAGCAGCAGGGAAGAGAACCCAGCCCUAGGACCUUCUUUUAAAAGCCCCCCUCCCACCCCUGCAGAACCAGCAGCAGCAGCCAGACACAGCGCAGAAGCUCCAGCAGGCCAAGGGCAGCAGCAGCACUGAACAGGUUACGCUGCAUUUAGUGCUCCGGCUGCAGCUCCCCCAGGAAAUACAUUACAGGUAGAUGGAAGCGCUGCGAGGCAGAUCCUGCGAGCUGACAGCCCCUGCUCACACCAGCCACGUUCACAGUGAGUUCCCCUGUCAUUUCUUUAACUGAAUUUAGCUGCAGGGCUACCACCCAGUCACUAGUUACUUGCACUGGAAGCUCCUCCAACUUAAAGUCAGCUGCUUCACCUUGCAGGGCUCUGCACAGCACUGCGGUGCUUCUGUCACCCAGGCCUAGCACUAGAAAUGUUGGAUUAAGCCCAGUGUAAAUGGUAACAGUUAUGAUUAGAAAAACAACAGGGAACUUUCCAUGUCUAGGAAAACUCACUCAUCUCAUAAGUGAAUUGGCUUUGGGGGCAAUAAACACAGGUCAUCAACGCAGCAGAAGGGGAAAUCUCGCCAUCCAUGCGAACUCUUAUUUUACCUGUGUUGCUUUCCUAAUGUUUCAGGAAAAACAAUGACUUUUUUAUUUUGUUGGCACAUCAAUGGAAUAACUAGAAGUCCAGCAAGAGAGGAGUCACACUAGAGGUUUCUGAGGAGCUGGAAUGGUAGGAGCAACUAAUUAUGUUGUCUUGCAAGCUUCAGUACCCAUGAGUUGCAGCUGCUCGUUCAAGUGAAACUUUUCUAAUCAGUCUUUCUUGGAAAGGAUUUCACACACCUUCAUUGAGUCAAGACUUUGACUCAUGCCCUCCAGUAACAAAGGCCUUGUGUUUAAGCUUCAUUUAGCACAUUCUAAAACUAACGUAUGGGAACAAGCAGAUGGAUGAUGAAAACAAAGAUUAAAGUUUUGCAAUCGAGUGGCAGCAUAAAACUUGCCGUGGAACCCUCUGAAACAAAAGUUCAGCUCCACUGGAAAGAGGGCUGUGAACAAUAUUUAUAAUACUUAUUUUUUAUUAGUUGUAGAACUCCACUACUUGUAAUAAAAGUGGGGUAAGAAGUUCUACUUUCACUUGAAUUUCAUUACACAUUAAAUGGCAUUUUAAAUGUCUAAGAUGUAAAAACUAACUCCUCUCAAAUCAGUUAGUUACUAAUUUUGAAUGUAAUUAACAGUGCAAGAGUUACGUGUUUUAUUGGGAGUUGUUGUUUUGGUUUGUUUUUUUUUAGAAAGCCCCCGGUGAUUGAUCUGUUCUUUCCUCAUACAAUACGACUCUAUACGUACAUGUUGUAACCUACCUUAAAAAUAAAAAUACAUUAUUUUCUAAGAAAAA